GGAAAAGCUCAGCAGAGGGGCUGCAGGCACGGUCCGUGGCUGCCCAGUCCUGCCCCGGUGCCAGGAGCAGCGAAGAAGGAGGUUUGCAAAGCGGUGUCGUUUCUCCUCCCUGGUCCGGGUAAGAGGACGAUGAAGAUCCUGCUGGUGGUCCUGGCCCUGCUGCUUGCUUGUGGCAUGCUUGCUGCUCACGGAAAGCUCCCGCCUGCAUUCGCCCCGGGGCUGGAGGGAAGCAUGGUGGCAAACCUGACUGCGCACAUCUGCGACUCGGGAUGGGGCCGCGGGCACGCAGCGAAGGCUUCGAUGCACCGGUGCUGCCGGCUCCGUGCCUGCUGCUACGCCCGGCUGGCUGCGCGCCGCUGCCGCGUGGGACAGAGCCAGCGCCUCGCCGCCUCCCGGGCAGGGGGCCCUGCCUGCAGAUUGGGGACCCGGUGCCAGCGGGGAGCCUGCAAAUGCGAGCGGGCGACUCGGCUCUGCUGGGCACGCAGCCGGGCGCUGCUCAAGUGCCAGGGCCGAGGCAGGCGUUGCUGACGGAGAGGGGCCCUUCACGAACCCACCUCCGUGCUGGAGGAAAGCCGCCCUCGUGUGAAGCUGCGUCAUUAGACACUGGAUCCGAGGAGGGAGAGCUGCACAGAUGCGAUAUUUCUGCUGAGAAAAACAAGGGAGGAGCGGGACACCUGCGCCUUGUCACAGUGAAGGGCGAGGUGAUGGAAGCCAGCACAAGUUGGCAAUUUGUCCUCUUCGGCUCCAGCUCCCCACGCGCAAGUCGCUGCACGGAAACGUCGUGGCUCCCCCAGCUGUUUGCUUCACCGCAGAAUAAAACUAAAACAAAUAUUCCAAGUAAAAUAUAUAAAAUAUUUGGAAUAUUCCAAAUAUUCCAAAAUAAAUAUUGCAAAAUAAAGCCGGAGAGCAAAAAGCUUUGGGCCUCUGUGUGCUGCAACUCCGCCGUACCCAGUGACAACCCCUGGCACCGGGGAGAAGCUCACCUGUGCUCAGGACUUCCCAUUGAAAUACCAAAACCCUAAAACUGGAGCUGCGCAGCAGAGUCCAGAGCCUGUUUCAAACAUCACCCCCAAUACCUGGAGCCCCUGAUUUAACACUGACAGCGGGAGGUUCUUGCGUCCUGCAGCAGCGUUUCCAAAUGGCUCAGAGCUCGCCUUUGCCUGGCUUGUGCCUGGUCUCGCCAGACGAGGCACAGCACGAGGGUUUAGGCACCGCUGAAAUAAAGCGCGUGCCAAUUUCUGCCA
ensembl:lncRNA